rnacentral:lncRNA from 10 species
CCCCGCCCUGCCCCGGAGCCGCCGAAAUGCAAUUUCCCGUGCAGGCGCCUCGGGCCCGGGGGGCUUUUCCGGGCGGGUUUUGGAAAGAAGAGGGGGAAAUGCGGCGGCGGCCCCAAUCGAGGUUUCAGAGGUGCCGGGAAGUCUGAGCCUUCGCCCUCCUGCUCUCCCUCCAUGUCCACCUAGGAGGCUGCCUACACCUGGGCAAGGGCACCCGGGCUCGGCUGGAUUUCCAGGAAGACCCACCCUAUGACGACUGCCCCCACUCCCAGACCCUCCCCCCAGCCUGGGAUUGAGCCCUGGGGAUGACCCGGGGUUGGCAAGGGAAGAGCUGAAAUCGCCCUGUCCUUGGGGACCCCACCCUUUGUGCCAUCUGCCGUUUCCCUAGUGCUGGGCAUCCAGUCAGCCCUCAAUAAAUGCUUAUGAAUGGAUCAACAACAGACAAGCCC